GCCUUAAAUCUAGCCUACACCACCAAUCAUAUUAAACCACUGCUAAUCAUAACACAAUAAAACAUUUUAACAGCUUAGUAAAGGAGAUUAAAAAACAUGUAAGCGCUAUAGAUUACGUACCGUGAGGGGACGAUGAAAUAAAUGAAAUAACAGUAAGCACUGAACAGAAGAGAUUUCCCCUCGUACCUUUUGCAUCAUGGUCUAGCUAGACAUAUCAAGCAAAAUGAGUUUUAGUUUGAACCCCCGAAACUAAGUGAGCUACUUCGAAAUAGUUUUAAGAACAAACCCGUCUCUGUAGCAGUAAAGUGGGAAAAUUUCCAAGUAGAGGCGAUAUACCUACCGCACUUAGAGAUAGCUGGUUGCUUAAGAAAAGAAUAUAAGUUCAACCUUAAGUUUCUUAAUUACAUGAAAAAAUAUAUAAAACUUAAGAGCUAUUCAAAUAAGGCACAGCUUAUUUGAAACAGGAUACAACCUUCGAUACUGGGUAAUAAUUAAGAUCAGGUUCUAAGUGGGCCUAAAAGCAGCCACCUCUUAAAAAGCGUUAAAGCUUAUCACCUACUCUACUUUAAUACCUUAAUAUACCUAUAACCCGUCAUCAGUACUGAGCAAUUCCAUAAAUAUAUGGAAGUUAUAAUGCUGGAACUAGUAACAAGAAAUAGACUUUCUCCAAAAUGUAAGCCUAAGCCACAAUAGACACACUACUGGCAGUUAACGCAAAUGAACAGACUAUAACAACUUUAACAAGAGAACCCUAUAGCCCUUAGCGUCAACCUUACACCAGAACAUUCCUGGAAAGAUUAAAAGAAAAAGAAGGAACUCGGCAAAAUUUAGCCCCGCCUGUUUACCAAAAACACCGCCUCUUGACAAAACAUAAGAGGUCCAGCCUGCCCAGUGAUCUAGUUCAACGGCCGCAGUACUCUGACCGCGCAAAGGUAGCAUAAUCACUUGUCCUUUAAAUGAGGACUCGUAUCAACGGCAUCACGAGGGCUUUACUGUCUCCUUUUUCCAAUCAGUGAAACUAAUUUCCCCGUGAAGAAGCGGGGAUAUACCUAUAAGACGAGAAGACCCCAUGGAGCUUUAAACCCAGCCACACCCCCUCCACACACUAUAUCCUCUCAGUAGUUCGGGCCCUGUGUGCUCGGUUUUAGGUUGGGGUGACCGUGGAGUACAAUAUAACCUCCAUGACAAACAAGAUUAUUCUCUUAUCCAAGAGCCACACCUCUAAGAAUUAACACACUAAUGUAAAAUGAUCCGACAAUCGAUCAACGGACCAAGUUACCCUGGGGAUAACAGCGCAAUCCAUUUCAAGAGCCCCUAUCGACAAAUGGGUUUACGACCUCGAUGUUGGAUCAGGAUAUCCCAGUGGUGCAGCAGCUACUAAAGGUUUGUUUGUUCAACAAUUAAAAUCCUACGUGAUCUGAGUUCAGACCGGAGUAAUCCAGGUCGGUUUCUAUCUAUAAAGAGCUUCCCCUAGUACGAAAGGACCGAGGUAGCGUGGCCAAUACACUAUUAAGCCACCCCAUCACCAAUGAACCCCACUUAAUUGGCCCAACUCUAACUGACCCUAGACCAGGGAUU
rnacentral:rRNA from 1 species